rnacentral:rRNA from 1 species
AGAGUUUGAUCCUGGCUCAGAACGAACGCUGGCGGCAGGCUUAACACAUGCAAGUCGAACGGGCGUAGCAAUACGUCAGUGGCGGACGGGUGAGUAACGCGUGGGAACAUACCCUUUGGUUCGGAAUAACUCAGGGAAACUUGAGCUAAAACCGGAUACGUCCCCGGAUGAGAGUCCGGGGGGAAAGAUUUUUCGCCGAA